UGUUAAAAUUUUCAUCAAUUUUUACUGUUAAAAACUGAUAUGACUAACAAAAUAACCAGAUAGUUACGACGUGCUAUAUGUAUCUCAUUCUAACAUACAUGGACCAAUUUUUAAUAAUAAAAAUAGAUGACCAAUCUUCCA
rfam:Gossypium hirsutum cultivar TM-1 chromosome 5, whole genome shotgun sequence